AACGAACGCUGGCGGCAUGCCUAACACAUGCAAGACGAACGAGACCUUCGGGUCUAGUGGCGCACGGGUGCGUAACGCGUGGGAACCUGCCCUUAGGUUCGGAAUAACUCCCCGAAAGGGGUGCUAAUACCGGAUAAUGUCUUCGGACCAAAGAUUUAUCGCCUUUGGAUGGGCCCGCGUUGGAUUAGCUAGUUGGUAGGGUAAAAGCCUACCAAGGCGACGAUCCAUAGCUGGUCUGAGAGGAUGAUCAGCCACACUGGGACUGAGACACGGCCCAGACUCCUACGGGAGGCAGCAGUGGGGAAUAUUGGACAAUGGGCGAAAGCCUGAUCCAGCAAUGCCGCGUGAGUGAUGAAGGCCUGAGGGUUGUAAAGCUCUUUUACCCGGGAUGAUAAUGACAGUACCGGGAGAAUAAGCUCCGGCUAACUCCGUG
rnacentral:rRNA from 1 species